rnacentral:rRNA from 1 species
UACGUAGGUGGCAAGCGUUGUCCGGAUUUACUGGGCGUAAAGAGCGCGCAGGCGGUUGUUCAAGUCGAAUGUGAAAGCCCCCGGCUCAACUGGGGAGGGUCAUUCGAUACUGUUCGACUCGAAGGCAGGAGAGGGAAGUGGAAUUCCGGGUGUAGUGGUGAAAUGCGUAGAUAUCCGGAGGAACACCAGUGGCGAAGGCGACUUUCUGGCCUGUUCUUGACGCUGAGGCGCGAAAGCUAGGGGAGCAAACGGG